AAAUUUUUGAAGUUAUUUUAGCUUUUUUGUUGGGUGAAAUCAGUAUAAAGAGUUUUUCCUUCUUUAAAAAUUAAUAGGAAUUAAAAAACUCUGAUUUAAAACCAGGAUUAGAUACCCUGUUAUUCUGAGUUAUAUUUAGACAGGGUAGUAAAAGUUGUUCUUCAAACCCAAAGAUUUUGGCGGCACUUUAUCCAAAUAGAGGAGCUUGCCCCUUAAUCGAUAGUCCCCGUUUUAUCUUUCCUCUGUUUGUAGAGCUUGUAUACCGCCGUUGUCAGAUUACUUCUAGAGAAUGUUUUCAAAUUAAAAGAUUUUUUUACUUCAGGUCAAGGUGCAGUUUAUAUAGAGGUGGAGGUGAGCUACAAUUUUCUUUACAAAUAUGGAUACUAAGCCUCGAAGCUGGUUGAAGGUGGAUUUAUUAGUAAAGUAA
rnacentral:rRNA from 1 species